GUCUACGGCCAUGCUACCCUGAACAAGCCCAAUCCCGCCUGAUCUAGGAAGCUAACCAGUGUCGGGCUUUGUUAGUAUUUGGAAGGGAGACCGCCUAGGAAGACCAGGUGCUGUAGGCA
rnacentral:rRNA from 1 species